UAAGGUAUAGAAGAGAGUCCAAUAAUAAAACUGGUUGAAACCAUCUGUCUUGAGCCUUUUUGUCUUCUAGAUGUUUUUGUGUCCCUGGUAUAAAUUUGGUAAUUCGUUCCUCUCCAUCUAAGAGGCUGGUCAUAGCAGGGACAGUGGUGGCAGACACAGCUUAGUGCCUGCCAAACACUGUUUCUGCUGGUGGCAGGUAUUUCUAAUAGCCCAAAGACCACUUCAAAGCUACCUGACUACAAAUUCAAGUAAUUUUGUCUUAGAGAGUCUUACUCAUUUUUUUCCCCUCUCCUGAGGACUGUGAAUGAUAUUGAAUGUGUAGUUGUCACUGCGUUCCUAAAAUUUGAUAGAUGUUGUUUAGUAUUCCUGCUGGAAGAGAACUAGCAGGUUCAAUGUUUUCAGGUGUUCCAUAUCUGAUAGGGAUGUUUGAAUCACUCCCACAGUAAUAGUUUUUCUGGUGGGAAAAGCUUCUAUCCAUUCUGAGAGCUGAUCCAUGAUUACCAGUGCUCAUAAGAGGCAUGUCAGCAUAAACGCUUUAAAAAUGGGAAAAACAAACAUGAUCAUACUUCAAUCUCUUGUUUGCAUUUUGUGAUGGAAAGCUUUCAACGUGUGGGACAAGAAAUCACAAUACUUGUCAUAAAUAUUCUGGGGACUGCCCACAUUUUUUCCAUCUGGUUAACAAUUGGGAUCAUCUCUCCAGGCAUUUUAUCAUGAAACCACUUAGCCAAACUCAUUAAAUACUUUCUUGGUAGAAUAGGUUAUCUCCCAAUAGUCCAAAUUCCAGUUUCAUUUUUCACUGCCUCCCAACUUUCCCAUCGAACCCAUUCUUCCUGCGUAACCUCUGCAUGUAUUUGUGCUGGAUUACUGAUCUCUAGUCAACCAUCAGCAGACGGAGUUAUUAGGGUGGCACACUCAGUAUAGGUUGUUGGACAGCAGUUUUAGUUGCUUUAUCUGCCAGUUAAUUAUUUCUUCUGCUUUUGCUGGACAGCGCACUACAGCAAUUUCCCUUGGAAGCAGAAUAGCUUCCAAGAGCAUUCAGAUUUCAGUUCCACAAGGAAUAAACUUUCUUGCUGAGGUGAUCCCCCGGGCAGUUUGUAAGGCAGAGCUGCAGCCUGGUGUGGAGGUGCAGCCACAGCAGUGCUCAGCUUAGCAUCUUACUCACAUGGAAGGAUGAAAUCAGCUGCUCUGCCGAUAAACACCACAGUCUGCCUGGGCUGUCUGGUGCUUUUUUCCAACACACUGAAAGCAUCACGUGGCAAUAAAGGUGUCUCAAGCUGCUGCA
rnacentral:lncRNA from 1 species